UACGAAGGGGGCUAGCGUUGCUCGGAAUUACUGGGCGUAAAGCGCACGUAGGCGGCUUCUUAAGUCGGUGGUGAAAUCCUGGAGCUCAACUCCAGAACUGCCUUCGAUACUGGGAAGCUCGAGUCCGGGAGAGGUGAGUGGAACUGCGAGUGCAGAGGUGAAAUUCGUAGAUAUUCGCAAGAACACCAGUGGCGAAGGCGGCUCACUGGCCCGGUACUGACGCUGAGGUGCGAAAGCGUGGGGAGCAAACAGG
rnacentral:rRNA from 1 species